rnacentral:rRNA from 1 species
UCAUGGCUCAGGAUGAACGCUAGCUACAGGCUUAACACAUGCAAGUCGAGGGGCAGCAUGAUCGAAGCUUGCUUUGAUUGAUGGCGACCGGCGCACGGGUGAGUAACGCGUAUCCAACCUUCCCUAUAGUAGAGGAUAGCCCGGCGAAAGUCGGAUUAAUACUCUAUGUUUUCCAAUGCAGACAUCUAAGUUGGAACAAAGGUUCACCGCUAUAGGAUGGGGAUGCGUCUGAUUAGGUUGUUGGCGGGGUAACGGCCCACCAAGCCUACGAUCAGUAGGGGUUCUGAGAGGAAGGUCCCCCACAUUGGAACUGAGACACGGUCCAAACUCCUACGGGAGGCAGCAGUGAGGAAUAUUGGUCAAUGGGCGAGAGCCUGAACCAGCCAAAAGUAGCGUGCAGGAUGACGGCCCUAUGGGUUGUAAACUGCUUUUAUACGGGGAUAAAGUGAGGGACGUGUCCCUUUUUGUAGGUACCGUAUGAAUAAGGACCGGCUAAUUCCGUGCCAGCCGCAGC